rnacentral:rRNA from 1 species
CUUGACAUACCAUUGACAGGCGCAGAGAUGUGCUCUCCUUCGGGCAAUGGAUACAGUGGUGCAUGGUUGUCGUCAGCUCGUGCCGUGAGGUGUUGGGUUAAGUCCCGCAACGAGCGCAACCCUCAUUGUUAGUUACUACCAUUCAGUUGAGGACUCUAAUGAGACUGCCAACGAUAAGUUGGAGGAAGGUGGGGAUGACGUCAAAUCAUCAUGCCCUUUAUGACCUGGGCUACAAACGUACUACAAUGGCCAAUACAAAGAGAUGCGAAGCGGUGACGUGGAGCGAACCUCAGAAAGUUGGUCUCAGUUCAGAUUGAAGUCUGCAACUCGACUUCAUGAAGGCGGAAUCGCUAGUAAUCGCGGGUCAGCAGACCGCGGUGAGUACGUUCCCGGGUUU